GACGAACGCUGGCGGCGUGCCUAAUACAUGCAAGUAGAACGCUGAAGAGAGGAGCUUACUCUUCUUGGAUGAGUUGCGAACGGGUGAGUAACGCGUAGGUAACCUGCCUUGUAGCGGGGGAUAACUAUUGGAAACGAUAGCUAAUACCGCAUAACAAUGGAUGACACAUGUCAUUUAUUUGAAAGGGGCAAUUGCUCGACUACAAGAUGGACCUGCGUUGUAUUAGCUAGUAGGUGAGGUAAUGGCUCACCUAGGCGACGAUACAUAGCCGACCUGAGAGGGUGAUCGGCCACACUGGGACUGAGACACGGCCCAGACUCCUACGGGAGGCAGCAGUAGGGAAUCUUCGGCAAUGGGGGCAACCCUGACCGAGCAACGCCGCGUGAGUGAAGAAGGUUUUCGGAUCGUAAAGCUCUGUUGUAAGUCAAGAACGGGUGUGAGAGUGGAAAGUUCACACUGUGACGGUAGCUUACCAGAAAGGGACGGCUAACUACGUG
rnacentral:rRNA from 1 species